rnacentral:rRNA from 1 species
GUCUACGGCCAUACCACCCUGAACGUGCCCGAUCUCAUCUGAUCUCAGAAGCUAAGUAGGGUCGGGCCUGGUUAGUACUUGGAUGGGAGGGUCUUUAUAACAGAUU